UAGAGAUAUCUGGGAGUUUUAUGUGGUUUAAAUCCAGUGCUUUUCAUAAUAAAGAUUCAAAAUAGAUGUAUGAAAGUGUCGAUUAUAGAUAUUUCUUGGAAAAAAAAUUAAUAAACAUGUGUUUUUAUCAGUUUUGCACUUACGGUCCAAGUUCGUUAAGCGAAGAAGCCCAACCUGGCAUGAAUCCUGGCUCUCUGCUGAACCACAGCACGACCAACACCACAAAAAUAGCAAGCACGGCACCUUCACCAAAUUUUAUUCUGCCCAGUUUCUUAAAUUCCUGCUGAUCAUAGGCCUCAUCAUCACCUGCGCUUUCAAACCCACAGCCAAAUGUCUUCUUAAAAGUAGAAAAAAAAAAGCGCACAGCUUGCGGGAGCCAGGUUAUGGUCCCGAUUGGUACGACGUUGCUGUUGGGUACAGGCUGUCCUUCACUCCAGGUUGUGUGUGUGCUCUGGAUCACCCGCAUAUUUGCAGUUCAUUGAUUACGGAUAAAGCUGUGAGUAACUGAACCCGUGUGCUUAGCGGGUUAAAGCCGGGAGCUGAAGGCCCCAGUGAGGGAAGCUAGCUGUCUUGGCCCUGUGGUGGUGGUGUUUCUCACAGUGUGUUUUUGCCAUUGAUAUCUGCGUUUCCUCACUUAGAGUGGGUAUGGUGUGAGUGUUUGUGAGUAGUGUGUCUUAGGAUACUCACUUUUCAGUUAGCUGCCCUACCGGUAAGCCUCAGCCAGAAAGUUUCUUGUUUUUCUUUAUUUCUUGUCUCUGUUUGAUCAACAGUUUUUAUUAUUUUAACUAGUUAUAGUGCAAUAAAAGUAUUUCGUAUUUAUAUCCACGUCUAGUGCAUUCAGUGGUUACGAACCUGUGUGCUAUAUUUUGGGUAUAAAUUUCCCCGUUUAUAGAAACGGGGUGGCGUAGUCUGCUCUAAUUCUUAGUUGUAUAUUGUGUUAAUUCUUGCCCUCCACCUCCCCGCCACACAAACAAUAGGUUAACAUAUGCACUAAGAACCCUAGAUGAGGACACAUAAAAUUGCACCCCCCACUUGUCCUCAUACUCCUCCCCACUCCCAAAAACAAUAAAUAAUUUGGAAUAUAUAUCUUUAUAUUCCAAAGAGAAAAUGUUAUAUAAGGACAACUGCACAGAGAAUUAGUCCACAGUUCCACAGCAUGUCUGGUUACCUCUGCUGUCAUUUAUUUAAAGCAGUAAUCUUUCUUUUUAAUCUUUUUUAAGUCACCAAUCUUUUUUUUACAAUUUAAUCAUAUAGUAGAUAUAAUUUGCAGAUUUGACAAUUAUGAAAAACAUUUUCAAUGAAUUUAUAACAAAACAAUGAAAUACUA